CUCGCUUGUCCUUUUCUUGUUUGGUUUAAGAGGAACAAGGCAUAUUUUUCUCUAUUACAUUAAGCAAGCAAAGCAAAGAAAAUUUGUUUCCCUCUUUUCCACUCACAUUCAUACCACAUAGAUUUGUAAGGAGAAUGAAGUCAGAAGAGAAAAGAAACAUACUGAAAACACUGGUGGGAAAUAACAAUGCCUAUCCAUCUCAAUUUUUUUUUUAUAUUCCUUUAACUACUAAAAUUAUCUAGGAUAACAAAAAUACCACAAAACUAAGAUAAAAAUUAAGGAAUGCUAGAGAGUUGGAGACGUUAGCCACAAUAGAACAUCACAACAGUUGCUGCAAAUAAACACACAGACAUCACUAAUUUAACAAAAAGGGAAAAAAAGGAGAAUGAACCUUUUAGAGUAAAUCUUUAUCUUUUACAUAGCAAAAGUCUCCAGCAUAACCAGUCAAACAACCACGAGCUACUAGCCCAGCAAAAAUCCGAUGAUGGAAACUAAAAAAAAUUGACUCAAGGUCGGAACCUUGAACGGACUCGCCGGACUUUACCUCGAUUCAACCUGUUUCAGAUGUAAAAGGGGUCGGUUCGAUGGAGGUCUGUGGCUUGCUUUGACAGAUUUCCAUAGUUCCUUGAGAGCUGAUUUUGGGAGGAGGUUUUCAGCUGUUGGUUGAAUGAAAAGGAGCUGGUCGCCUUAGCUGAACACGGAAGGAGAAGAAGGAAGUUCAGCUGCUGGUUACCAUAGCUGAACAGGAAGGAGAAGAGGAUAUGGAGUAGGGAAGAUAAAAAAUCAAA
rnacentral:lncRNA from 1 species